rnacentral:rRNA from 1 species
ACUCAAAUGAAUUGACGGGGGCCCGCACAAGCGGUGGAGCAUGUGGCUUAAUUCGAUGCAACGCGAAGAACCUUACCCGGAUUUGACAUGGUUGUGGUAGAACACUGAAAGGUGGACGACCCCGCAAGGGGAGCAAUCACAGGUGCUGCAUGGCUGUCGUCAGCUCGUGUCGUGAGAUGUUCUGUUAAGUCAGGCAACGAGCGCAACCCACGCCUCUAGUUACCAGCGGGUAAAGCCGGGGACUCUAGAGGGACAAACCCGUAAGGGUGGGAAGGUGUGGAUGACGUCAAGUCAGUAUGGCCCUUACAUCCGGGGCUGCACACGUGCUACAAUGCCUGGUACAAAGCGACCCGAAUCCGCGAGGAGGAGGAAACCGCUAAAGCCAGGCCCAGUUCAGAUUGGAGUCUGCAACUCGACUCCAUGAAGCCGGAAUCGCUAGUAAUGGUGUAUCAGCUACGACACCGUGAAUACGUUCCCGGGCCUUGUACACACCGCCCGU